AAAAUGUAGGCAUAAACUAUAUAAUGUAUGAAGCCUGAAGUCCAAAUAUCAAAGAAACACUUUCACAAAAGGUACAAAUAUAACAGAACAAUUGCGCUUUUAUUCAAAGAUA